rnacentral:tRNA from 1 species
UCUAAUAUGGCAGAUUAGUGCGAUGGACUUAAACCCCUUAUAUAAAGAAAUUUUGUUAGAA